GCUGUGCUAAGAGGGACCUGGAGGACUGAAAAGGAGGCUCCUUCCCACCACCUCCCCAGGUCCGGAUGCAUUUUGGGGGAACAGGAGAGCAAGCCUCAGUGCCCAGAAAGCCCCGUGUGGCAGCGGCCUCAGGACACAGAUGAAUGAGGUGUUGGAUGAGGAUCCUGGAGCUUGGAGGGCGAGGCCCUGGUCACGGAGGGUGUCGUGAGACUGGAAGAUUCCGCUGGUCCAGCAGGAUGGAGCCGCCCUUCCCGAGCUGCAGUCGGCGUCUGUCCUCCCGUGCGUGUGUCCAGGUACAUGAGCCAGAAGGAGUUCUCCAGGAGGACCCAGCUCUCUUCUGCCUGGCUCCAUUAAGCACCUGCCCUUCACGUGCGGGGAGCAGACACCAACAGAGAUGACGGGGGACGCUGCCAUGAAAACGGUCACCAGCCACAGCA